rnacentral:tRNA from 1 species
GCCUGGGUGGCUUAGUCGGUUAAGUGUCCGACUUCGGCUCAGUUCAUGAUCCCAUGGUUCGUGGGUUCAAGCCCCACGUUGGGCU